AGAACGAACGCUGGCGGCAGGCCUAACGCAUGCAAGUCGAACGCCCCGCAAGGGGAGUGGCAGACGGGUGAGUAACGCGUGGGAACGUACCCUUCGGUUCGGAAUAACCCGGGGAAACUCGGGCUAAUACCGGAUACGUCCUGCCCCUUAAACAAGGGUGGAGAAAGAUUUAUCGCCGAAGGAUCGGCCCGCGUUGGAUUAGCUAGUUGGCGGGGUAAUGGCCCACCAAGGCGACGAUCCAUAGCUGGUCUGAGAGGAUGAUCAGCCACACUGGGACUGAGACACGGCCCAGACUCCUACGGGAGCAGCAGUGGGGAAUAGUUGGACAAUGGGCGAAAGCCUGAUCCAGCCAUCGCCGCGUGAGUGAAGAAGGCCUAGGGUUGAAAGCU
rnacentral:rRNA from 1 species